rnacentral:rRNA from 1 species
GACGAACGCUGGCGGCGUGCCUAAUACAUGCAAGUCGAACGCUGAAGGAUUAACUUGUUUCUCUGGAUGAGUUUCGAACUGGUGUGUAACGCGUCGGUAACCUGCCUCGUAACGAAGGAGAACUAUUGGAGACAAUAGCUAUUACCGCAUAAUAGUAGAUGUUGCAUAACAUUUGCUACAACAUUGCAUUUGUAUCAAUACUAUUAUCGCUUGCGUUGUAUUAGCUAGUUGGUGAGGUAGCGGCUCAACUAGGCGACGAUACAUAGCCGGCACGGGAGGGGGAGCGGCCACACUGAGAAGGGGACACGGCCCAGACUCCCACGGGAGGCAGCAGGAGGGAAGCUGCGGCAAUGGACGGAAGUCUGACCGAGCAACGCCGCGUGAGUGAAGAAGGUUUUCGGAUCGUAAAGCUCUGUUGUAAGAGAAGAACGAGUGUGAGAGUGGAAAGUUCACACUGUGACGGUAUCUGACCAGAAAGGGACGGCUAACUACGUG